AUCAGCAGCUAUUGCCAAACACUUUCUUGGCUGCUAAUAGCACUUUUCCCCCUUCUUUGUGUGGCUGAUAGCAGCUAUUUAAAACGGCAACAGCGAAUCAGACGAGUCUUCCUUACUGCAAGAUCCCUUCUUCUGUUCAAAUCAUCUUCAAGAUCGACUACAAUUGGUCCGCUGUCUGCUGCAAAGGUUAUGACUGUGGGCGCAAAUUAUUUUCUUGAAAACCAGAACACGGGCCAAUGCUCAGGGGAGGUCACUGCCUCUCUCUGUGUGGCAGUAACAGACACAGAUGGUUAACAACCGGGCACAGCAUCAAAGAGCCAAGCGGCUGGAGAUGGAGAGAAAACACCCUCGUACACAGCCUCGCCUCGCCUCUCCUCGCCUCUCAUCUCUGCGCUCGUGUGAGAGAUGAUCAAAUCAUCAUAUGGAAAAAUCCAAUGUGAUCUAAGCAAGAGGCAGAAAGGUCACAGGGAGUCAGUAAAAUGGAUGAAGGCUAAUGAUUAUCUCAACCUUUAUCUAAUCAAUAAUCAUUUAUCCCACAAUAUUAUGGACACUAUAUCCCAUUUUCCAUUAACCCAGGCAGGAUGACAGAGGCUGUAUUGUUUCCUAAGGCAGCUUUAUGGCAGGGUAUGUCUGAAAGGCAGUUUUAAGGUGUGCUCUCAACUGCUCUGAACCUGUUAAGACACUCUUACGUAGUCUGGACUUAGGCAAUAAUACAUUUUUUGAAAUAUUGAGUGUUUGAAACUAUGCGACCGGAAUGGUAUAGAAUAAUAAUCGAGCAAUUUCGAAAUGGCCUACAGUUUUAGCUCCAUCAAACAGUAAAUGUGGGUUUAAUGAAAUAUCAUCACAUUACACAAAUAGUGUUUUUUUUUUUUUGUGGGAAAAUAAUACCUUAGAUCAUUUGUUAAAGCUGAAAACAAAUGUAUGUUCUUUGGUUUCUUAUUGUCUUACGAUCACGAAAACACACAUCUUCCUCUAUUAGCCUUGGUCUCUAAGGAGUUUGUAUUUGCUACCGUUAUGCUGCAGUAAUUUGUACCGUUACGGUCCAUUUGGAGUGACCCCAUCCUCUGUGACUGGGAGUGUGUCUCCUGUGUCUGUAUGCUCAGUGAUGCCAUCUUCAUCCUAACCUUAUUGCUUUUAAUGACUCCCUCUUUCCUUUCAUGAAUUCUUUAUCGAUUUCUUCUGACGUCUGGUGAAUUAAUUUUCAAUUACUGCAACAACAAACAACCAAAAAUCCCCCCCCCCCCCCCCCCGCACACACCACACUAAUGUCUGGUUCCACCUAUACGUACGAGUGUGUAUAAGCGUGUGUGUGUGUGUGUGUGUGUGUGUGUGUACAACAACGUGGCGUGGUGAUGUUCAUACUUUCCCUUCCACCGUUCUUCUUCUCUCAAUCCAUUCAGCAAAGGACUGGGGGAGAAAUAUUCAUCUUCAAAGUCCACACUCAAACACUCAUGCACAUGCAUACACACACACACACACACACACACACACGCGCACGCACACGCGCACGCACACACACACACACACACACACACACACACACACACACACACACGCACGUGCACGCACGCACAUCCUCAGACUAAAAGACACACACUAGGGAGCGUGUGAAUCCGACGGAGAGAAAUUGUACUAAAGGUCACAGUGUGCUAAUGGCCAGGCUAUCUUACAUGAAAUAAGUCCAGACACUUUCGACAGGUCUCUCAAUGUCACAGAGCAGCCUUUCGCUGCUGCCCGGCCCUGACGUGACUGGAAAGCAAGGUGAGGUGAGGUGCUCUGCGUUGAUGUGCGGUUCGUGGAGAGGCUUUUCAUUUUAUGUACUCUUCAAAAAUCCCCGACAACGUCCUGUAAGCAUAGCCAACCAGUGCAAUCUAUUCCCCCCGUCAUUUUUUAAGAAUAAUAGACACACUCCAAUACUCGAUAGACAUGCUCAGUGUUAGACUCAGGAGUACAACGUCAAUUUUAAAUACCCACAGGUCAUUAAUUACAGCAAUUAUUCAUUUUCAUUUCUCUGACAUAUAUUGACUGUUGUUUUUUUAAUGCGCCCAACCUAAGCCACCCAGAAGACUUGACAGCAAAAUAACAGAAUUGUUUAAAGUGAGCCACCAUUUUAUCAGAGCUUUGGGCAUAGUCAUAGAUUUCUUCAAAUGUGAUAUGAAAUGUGAAGAUUUUUUGUCAGUUGUCCAAUUAUUUCACAUUACUAUGACGCCAAAGCAUCAGGGAGUUUGAUGGAAAACAAUACGGAACAUAGAGUAUGUGGGCCUACUUCUGUAUUUAAACAGGAACGAGGGUUGGAUAGAUUGCAUUAAAAUGGCUAUUGAAAGUCUGAAAAUAAGAAAAUGACCGUAUGCUUUGUAAAGAUAUGUUGCAGAAUGUAAGAGACCAACUGCUUGUGUUGCUCUAUGUGUUGGCAGCUGUGUACAUGUGUGUAUUUGCCCUGCACCUAUGUCCCCGGCCUCUCGGCCUCUCGUCCUCUCUGUGUUUAUGUUGUGUGUGUGUGUACGUGUGUGUGUACAUAUGUCCGUGGAAGUUGUGUGUAUUUGUGCGUGUCCUGACCUAAUCCCGUCUCUGCUCAUCCUCCUAUGAGAGUAGCGAGAAAUACAGCUCUGUAAUUGUUAGGUCUGGCCCCCACAUUCUUUACCCAGGCGACCGCCCCGGCUCCAUGUCACUUUAACAACCUGGAAUUAUCACCACAAUGGAGAUUUCAGGUUAAAAGUGUCUCUAAGAGAGUAUAGAUACAUUUUCCAUCAAUAAAUUUCCCUCUCCGCCCAGUUUCUUCUAAGUCAAGUACCGCCCCCCCCCGCCUUGAUUGACAUUUUUACCACAAAAUUAUAACAUGUCUGUCUGUGAGAGGGGGUGUCUUCCUCCAAAAUUAGCUAACCAUCAAAAUAAAAUAGGAUAAGUUCAUCAUGGUGUCAUUUCACAGGAAUAUUGAUUCUUGCAGACAUACAGGAUUUCCCAUUAAAGCAGUAGCCAGUGUGUCUUCGGCAGACAGUAAAGCACAUGAAGGAUGCAGUGAUAUACAGGCCUGGAGAGCAUCGUUCCCCUAACAUUGUCUGUUCGCAUUUAACCUUUGCUAAACCAGCAGGUCUUCCCUUUACUCGGAGAAAGGCUGAGGACUGGAAUUGAAGACGGUAUUCAUUUCCAAAGUUAGAAUACCUUGAUAUAUAUACAGCACUAUUUGUGCACUAAGCAACAAGGUUUGUGUGUUGUUCUAAAUGUACAAUUGUCACUGAAGGAUCGUGUUACACCGUUUUGUGAAACGAUCACUAAAGACUGGGAAGACAGACACCAGACAGUCCGGCAUGAGAUGUCCUGUUUUUAUCCUUCGCUGGAGAAACUGAAGUAAAUCAACCUAGUGGACAGACACUAACGACUGUUGGAAUGCUGCCGGAACAGUAAACAACGUCAACUCCACAUCUCCCCGACACAACUUGAAUCAACAACUUUUUAGACUAGUCCCCUUCAUGUCACUCUAGCUGUUAUAUAAACUACGGAAAACUACCCCGUUCAGCUAUCUACAGGGGGAAAAUGUUUAACUACUUGUGAGACCUUUAGAACCAAUGAGGUUGAGGGGUCAGUACAGCUCAGCUCGCCCAACAAUAACCAACAAUGAACAGAGUAAUUGUUUAACCAUCCAAUCAGAUUUCGGCCAUGUGAUUCUUUAAAAAAAAAAUUAUAUCAGUGUUAAACCAAAAAAUGCAACCGCCCAAUCGGAUGCAGAGUAAGUGCUUCAACAUGCCUAUAAGAACUAAAGAGUUGCCUCAGCAGCCAACUGGUUGCCACGUAAGUGCUUCAGUAUGACUAUGGGAAAUACAGGAGAGCUUAACCAGCCCCAGUCAUACUGCUGUAAUGAAAGCCAGAUUGAAAGAGGGUUUGGAUUGAUUUCCAACAUCUUGAUUUGAUAUCCUGAAUUAAUUAUUUUAACUUGAAUAAUAUAUAAAGGAAAAUAAAUGUAGAACACUCGGGGGAACAAGAGAGGGCUUCACUACUGCUGAGUUAUCUCUUGGCCAAUCUCACUCGCAAGACUACUCUCAGCUGUGUGUGUGUGUGUGUGUGUGUGUCUGUGUCUGUGAGCGUGCGCGUCUGUGUGUGCCUGUGUGUGUGUGUCUGUGUGUGUGUGCUCGUGUGGGCGUGCAUUCACACACACGUGAGUGUGUUUGUGUAUGCGUGUGCAUGCAGAGUAUGUUUGCAACAUAUAUGUGUGUACUGCGCGAGAGUAUGUGUUCCAUAUACUGUUAUGUGAAUGUUUGCGUGUCUCUGUCAGAUGGUUGCAACAUAAGAUACAUGUGUGUAUGAGCGGCAGUUUUGUUUAGGGAAUGUAUUAGGAGUUCAACAUUAAAACGCCCACAAAUCCGUCAUUCGUUUUUAUAAAUCUAUUAAAAUACUAUAUACAUAGUGUAUUAAAAGACAAAAACUAUUGAU